UACUUGAUACUAUACUGCCGAUCGAUUCUCAUUUGUUCGAAGGAUGCUACAUGGAAUUAGGUGGAUGUCCCAGUUGUCAAUAUUGACAUAGCUGUGUACUGGUAUAUAGUCAUUUAGACAAUUUAUUCACCAUGAAAUACUGACUUGAUUUAUUUGUUUAAAACUGAACCUUUUAUGAAAUUUAUGGUAACAAUAUAUGUUUCUAGAUUGUUUGUCUUUUAGUGACAGCUUUUAAUUCUGUUUGGAACUUUGGGAUUCUGUAGACCAGGUUCGCUAAGUACGAACUAUGAAUCGAUAUUUGGCAGCUCCUAUUUUUGAGUUUUCAUCUUCUUUAUACCUGCCUUUCUAUGAGGUAUUGUUGUGUGACGGUUUCAGACAGUGAAGCGGCGGUGGCGGCGAUACAGAAAAUAUGAGAAGAUACAUCAUUGGGCGAGCCCUUGCUUCAACCACCAUGGGUCUAUGCUGGCUGUCAUCUCAGGACCUAGAUACUCAAAAGGAAGGCAGCCGGAGAAUCAUGUUCCCUUCAUGCAUAUACCCAAGAAAUAGAGAAGCACAAAUAACCUAUGAGGGUUAUACCUAGAAGAUGAAUGCAUUUAGACCCAAGAACCUACGUGAGGUGGGCAGUGAUGAUUCCAUCCAUGGAGGCAUGGAGCUUGAGAUUGUUGUUGCCCAGGAGGGAGCCGGGCUCACCCGGUUCUUUUUUUUGGUUAACUGUGUUGUUCAGUUCGCGAUCUCUGUGCGAGGAAUCAGCCAUUCAAGUUGCGCACUUAUUGCAGGGUUUGUAUGGAUUCAUGUUCACGACUAAAACUAUGAGGGAAUGUAAGCCUAUAGGAACCUUGCGCGGUGUGUUGUUGUUCUGGCGGUUUCUUAGUUUGGAUGACUGUGUCUCGCAUUGGUUCUAUUGGCUCUGUA